AUGCCUCCCUGUGACCAGAUAAAAAACAAAGGCGAAGUGCGUAAUCCUCGCUCAGAUCCAGGCCCCUGCGUGUGGUUCCUCCCGCACCCGGGCGAGGUGGCUGUCGUGGAGCGCCGGGUGGCGGGCGGAGAUGCUCCUCACGGGCUGGCGCCUGGAUCCGCGCCAUCGAGCUGUGCCGGAGCUUCUCCGACGAUCUUUGGCAGCGACCAUGGCGGGCGUAGCAGAGCGAAGGGUGCCGGCAGCCCGGUGUCAGUGCGCGCAGGGGAAGAUUCACUUCACAGCCGGCGUCCGGAUCCGCGCCAUCGAGCUGUGCCGGAGGUUCUCAGGGUGGUGGCGCGCUGCCCAGGGAGCACGACCAUGGGCGAAUCCAAGGGAGCACGAGAUAACCCCUGCUGCUUUCGCUUCCAAGAGUCCCAUCCUCCCACAAGAGCUUCGUGGCCACAACUUGCAGGCGUCUUUUGCUUCUUCUUCCUUUGGAUCCCUAGCUAA
rnacentral:rRNA from 1 species